CUUACGUACACAGUAAGGAGUUCAGUCAGGACAAAGUCCGUCGUGCUGCUAUCUAUGUAGAGGAUCAAAUAGUAGAAUAAAAAACCCCUGAAGUGACUUCACAGGACGCCUCUGGAAAAAGGAGCAUUACAAGUAAUGUUCGUUGAAUGCUUUUCCGAUACGGCCACGGUUACGAUUCGCUUCGCCUGUUAAGGGAAGGAGAUCUCCCGCGUAUUUCUGAUGGAACCGGAGACCAAGCUGUUCUCUGCUAACCUUUUGAAGCCACAAGCAAACCUCCAAAUGGAACUAGGUCGUACUCCAAGUUACUUAGCCGUUUGUCAGCUGCAGUUCUUCCAACGAGGUUGACGGUUGAGAUGAAUCUGCUGCACAACCGGGAUCCGAUCGGCGUCUCCAUUAAAAAUAUGUUCUUGCCGUUGGUCAAGCUUAUUGACAGACUAUCGAACGCUAUCUACAUUUCUUGCGCUUCUGUGUUUGGGUCAACGAUGAAAGCGUAGAGGAGAACGCUAAUCUUGUCAUUUGUCUGUUGAUCCGAUGUACGGAAUGCUUGGGUCCGAAAGAUUUCAAGGCGUAGAAAGAAGCAGGAUGAGGCGGAAGAUACGAUCACUGGUCUAGGCUUCUCGCAUCCUCUUUCAGAGAGAGAGAUGACGACAAAGAUUACAUGAAUACCAGAGCUGCCGUUCUGUGCUUCUAUUGAACGCUGGUGAAUCCGUUGGGCCGUUGUGUACCGCAUGCAUCGGUGAUCAAAGAAGGCAAAAACGAAUCAUUGCGAGCUCUGCCAUUCUACGCUCCUUGGUACCGCUGGAAGAUUUUCGAGUAGUUCUGGUUUUGUUCACAUUGACUAACACGGCGAAGGAAGGCCAAAGUCCGCGGUUCCAGAUGGCUCCAGUGAAGCCGGUGGACCUCUUCCAAACAAUUCAAACAACAAUGUUGUCGGCGUGCGUACAGCCUCUUUCAAUGAUUCCUGCGAUCGACGACUUCUGGACGGACCCGAAGGGUGAAUUCGAGAGCAAUGUUGUAAAUACGUAGCCCUAACUGAUGGGUAAAAAUGCAGCCGGUGCGAUCAAGUUGCUCUGUACUGUAGAAUGUAUACGUGCCUAAACUAGUGCAUGGCUUAGCUGUUUCCCGUUUUUCUGCGCAUUUCAAAAACUAUCCGGUGCACAAUCCACCACACAAAACACACCCUAUCGAGGAUCCAUCAAAGCGCACAACUUCGGACGGACUUUUUUCAUCGUUUCGGCAUACUGAAUUCCUCCCUCCGUCACCGACAUACGAUGGAUUUCAUCUGGCAGAGAGGAUCCCUAACUGAACUGGAUUUGUCGUCUGCAGACGAUGCUUGGUCCUGAUCCCGGAAGAGCACCACAUUCAAAACCAAACGGAUGACGACAUGAUGUUUAAGAUGGAUCGAUGCAUAACGGCCCUACUUACUACAUUAACAUUUUGAUGAUAAUA